CCCGAGCACAACAGUUGGGAGCCUGAAACUAAUAUCACAGAUGCAGCCAUUGAUGAAUAUUGGGCUCUCCAGGAAUCCCGUACUAAGCAAAAACCAGCUUCUGAACCUAAACGUAAGCGUACUCGGAAAUGAUUACCCACGCACCCCCGAGGGGUAUCCAUCUGUAAGCUCGCAGGGACUCUCGCUGCAGGUGGGGAGGAAUGUAAGAGCCUGGCUCAGGACUUAAGAUAUUUCCGAGUAAGGACUCCAAUUCCUCUUAUCAUUCCAUCGUCGAGGCGAAUAUCGUACACACAAUACAUACAACUAUUCAAGUCAUCUUUCGGUUAUAACCGUACUUAGCAGUACAUGAUUACGGCUACGGCUAUAUCGAUCCGUACACAUACUUGAUUCCGUACACCAUCUGCCCGUUCACGGCCAGACCGGUAUCGUAACUCUUCUCUGGAAGGUGCGACUCUCUUCCGCAGGAAUAUCUACUAUUGUACGGCAUCUUAUCCCGAGCGCCUCCGACGGACUGCAAGCGACUAUAAAACCCCAAGGGAAACCCCCGGUGUUUAUCAACACCUUCAUAAGUGGUCUAGUCGCUAAAUCCGUCUAAGUAACCAGGUAGGC
rnacentral:lncRNA from 1 species